rnacentral:rRNA from 1 species
UACGUAGGGUGCAAGCGUUGCCCGGAUUUAUUGGGCGUAAAGGGCGCGUAGGCGGCUCGGCACGUCCGUUGUGAAAUCGCCCGGCUCAACUGGGCGGGGUCAGCGGAUACGGUCGAGCUUGAGCAAGCUAGGGGGCAAUGGAAUUCCCGGUGUAGUGGUGGAAUGCGUAGAUAUCCGGAAGAACACCGGUGGCGAAGGCGGUCUGCUGGGCAGUAGCUGACACUGAGGCGCGACAGCGUGGGGAGCAAACAGG